AAAUUGAAGAGUUUGAUCAUGGCUCAGAUUGAACGCUGGCGGCAGGCCUAACACAUGCAAGUCGAACGGUAACAGGAAGAAGCUUGCUUCUUUGCUGACGAGUGGCGGACGGGUGAGUAAUGUCUGGGAAACUGCCUGAUGGAGGGGGAUAACUACUGGAAACGGUAGCUAAUACCGCAUAACGUCGCAAGACCAA
rnacentral:rRNA from 1 species